GGGAGGGAGGCCUGUGAGGCAGUUAGAUUCACCUCACAAGGCCUGUGUAGUAAAGGAUUAACUUACCCAAAGGGAGCUCCGGUCUUUGCCCUUGACUCCCGGGAGGUGAUCGAUGACAAGAGGUGGACGUGGAAUCCUAGAAAAGUGGUCAGAGCCGGGACCAGGGGUUGGCUUUUCUGAUGACUUUCUGGCCUCAGAUCCACUUUCCUAACUAAAAAAUGUGGAAUGCUCCAGAAUGCUCCAUAUCUUUGGAAGAUCCUUAUUUGUUCUGCAAAAGAAAGUCAUAUGGGGUGCCUGGGUCACUCAGCCCAUUAGGCGUCUGCCUUCGGC